GAUUGUGUGAUUGACUGAUCAGCUUUCCACGGAGGUUAGAAAAGAGGGCUUUGCGUUCUUUAAUUCCUUUCCGGGUACCAUGUUGAGAGCUGAGAUGUAUCAGAGAAUGGGAUGUGAGGCCCUUACUCCCUCCUUCCAGGGGCGAGGGAUACAGCAAGCUCCCCCCUCCCUUUUCCUCUGCCACGGCGGGUGUUGGCAAAGUGCAAGGGGACGUGCCCUCCAUCUCUCACCCAGCAGCAGAUAACGAAGGCUCCCUCUUCCCUUUCUUUGGAGACUAGAACGCACAGGGCACAUUCCUUCCUGGGACGCUUCUUCUGGGGACGCCUCACCAUUUGUCUGAGUGAGAAAUGACAGUGUAGGGGUCAUAGCAGGGCUUGCUAUUUUGCGGGGUGGGGGUCUUUUCCCCUGGAGGAUGCUGUGUGGUCAGCUUAGCCCCUGCCUCCCAGAUCUUCCUUCCCCAUUGUCUCUACUCACCCCCACAGCCCCCCCCCCCGCCUUUCUUUUAGUCUCCUCAAGCAGCAGGUUGCUUGAAAAGGGAGGCGGGCGGAAAUCCUCUUCUACAUCCCUUCCCCAAACUGUAUUUUCCCCUUUGCUGUGGGGAGCUGGGUGUGCCAGGAGGCCCCCUUUCUGCCACUUGGCUCCCCCUCUGGGGUACUUUCUGCUCUUCUCACAUUUGCCGUGAAGGUGGGGGUCUCCCAUCAGCUGCGCCUCUGAUGCUAGAGUGGUGAUGGUAGGUUUCUUUUGUUGUUGUUGUUGAACAAUAAAAUAUCUGGAGGGUUUUUUUUUGUUUUAAGUAGAUUUAACCCUGAUUUAAUCUCUCUCUGGUUAAAGAGAGAAGCUGUUUUUUCAGGAAACACACUCCCCCAACAUAGAAGGGGGAGCAUCUCUUUUCCGAGAUGUCUGCACACUUCCAACAAGGGUGUCAGUGCGAACUGCAAUUGCCGUCAAUAAAAGCUGUUGAAAUUUU